UACGUAGGGUGCAAGCGUUAAUCGGAAUUACUGGGCGUAAAGCGUGCGCAGGCGGUUUGGAAAGAAAGGUGUGAAAUCCCAGAGCUUAACUUUGGAACUGCACUUUUAACUGCCAAGCUAGAGUAUGUCAGAGGGGGGUAGAAUUCCACGUAUAGCAGUGAAAUGCGUAGAUAUGCGGAGGAACACCGAUGGCAAAGACAAUCCCCUGGACCUGUACUGACGCUCAUGCACGAAAGCGUGGGGAGCAAACAGG
rnacentral:rRNA from 1 species